AUCAGAUGGACAAAAGGCUUUAAAAUCGAUGGCACGGUCAGUUAUUAUAUUUAUGUUUCACACGAUACUAUUUGAUCUAAUGUCUUUAAAAUCGACGACGUUGUUGAAGAUCUGGAGCAAGACCAUUGGCUAAGCUGGAGAUGUUCCACUCCAAGGAGAUUUCUCUGCUGAACACAUGAUUUUUGGAGAGAGGUCAAGUUGAAACUUGAAAGACGGUCACUACACAAGUUGUUUGGUUUGGUGAUGGUGAAGGACUAGAAGUUAGAUUGAUAAAUUAAUCAUAGUACAGUGUGAGGAAUUAUUUUGGACUAAUGACUAAACAAUCAGACAACCUUCCCUAUGGGCUACGGCUCUUGCUUGACUUUGAGUGGUUUACAUGCCACUCCACACUCCAAUGAAACUCUUUUCAACUUGAAAUUCUAAAAAGCUACUCUGCUCCAUUAUAUACCAAUUAUCUUUCUUUUAUCAUUACAUUUGUGUGUGUAUAUAUGUAGUUCAUGACAAGUGGAUAAAAACAAGUAAAAUGAAACAUGAAAGAGGAGAGGCAAAAA